CCACCCGUGUUUAUUAUACCUUGUUGCUUCGGCGGGCCCGCCGUAAGGCCGCCGGGGGGCUUCUGCCCCCGGGCCCGCGCCCGCCGAAGACAUCUCGAACUCUGUCUGAAGAUUGUAGUCUGAGUAUAAAUAUAAAUUAUUUAAAACUUUCAACAACGGAUCUCUUGGUUCCGGCAUCGAUGAAGAACGCAGCGAAAUGCGAUACGUAAUGUGAAUUGCAGAAUUCAGUGAAUCAUCGAGUCUUUGAACGCACAUUGCGCCCUCUGGUAUUCCGGAGGGCAUGCCUGUCCGAGCGUCAUUGCUGCCCUCAAGCACGGCUUGUGUGUUGGGCCCCGUCCUCCGAUCCCGGGGGACGGGCCCGAAAGGCAGCGGCGGCACCGCGUCCGGUCCUCGAGCGUAUGGGGCUUUGUCACCCGCUCUGUAGGCCCGGCCGGCGCUUGCCGAUCAACCUAAAU
rnacentral:rRNA from 1 species